rnacentral:tRNA from 1 species
UAUGGCAGACUAGUGCAAAGGCUUUAAACUCCUUUUAUAAAGACCUUAAAUCUUUUAUUAAAA